GUCUUAAUUGGGCGUUAAGUUGCAGGGUAUAGACCCGAAACCCGGUGAUCUAGCCAUGGGCAGGUUGAAGGUUGGGUAACACUAACUGGAGGACCGAACCGACUAAUGUUGAAAAAUUAGCGGAUGACCUGUGGCUGGGGGUGAAAGGCCAAUCAAACCGGGAGAUAGCUGGUUCUCCCCGAAAGCUAUUUAGGUAGCGCCUCGUGAAUUCAUCUCCGGGGGUAGAGCACUGUUUCGGCUAGGGGGCCAUCCCGGCUUACCAACCCGAUGCAAACUGCGAAUACCGGAGAAUGUUAUCACGGGAGACACACGGCGGGUGCUAACGUCCGUCGUGAAGAGGGAAACAACCCAGACCGCCAGCUAAGGUCCCAAAGUCAUGGUUAAGUGGGAAACGAUGUGGGAAGGCCCAGACAGCCAGGAUGUUGGCUUAGAAGCAGCCAUCAUUUAAAGAAAGCGUAAUAGCUCACUGGUCGAGUCGGCCUGCGCGGAAGAUGUAACGGGGCUAAACCAUGCACCGAAGCUGCGGCAGCGAACGUAUCACCCAAGACAACUUUGCGGAGUUGACGAUUGACGGAGCGAAGCGACGUCAAAGCGUUCAUUAAAGUCGAGUUGGCUUAGGGAUACGUUCGUUGGGUAGGGGAGCGUUCUGUAAGCCUGUGAAGGUGUGCUGUGAGGCAUGCUGGAGGUAUCAGAAGUGCGAAUGCUGACAUAAGUAACGAUAAAGCGGGUGAAAAGCCCGCUCGCCGGAAGACCAAGGGUUCCUGUCCAACGUUAAUCGGGGCAGGGUGAGUCGACCCCUAAGGCGAGGCCGAAAGGCGUAGUCGAUGGGAAACGGGUUAAUAUUCCCGUACUUGGUGUUACUGCGAAGGGGGGACGGAGAAGGCUAUGUUGGCCGGGCGACGGUUGUCCCGGUUUAAGCGUGUAGGUGUGUGUUCCAGGUAAAUCCGGUUCACUUUAACACUGAGGCGUGACGACGAGGCACUACGGUGCUGAAGCAACAAAUGCCCUGCUUCCAGGAAAAGCCUCUAAGCAUCAGGUAACAUCAAAUCGUACCCCAAACCGACACAGGUGGUCAGGUAGAGAAUACCAAGGCGCUUGAGAGAACUCGGGUGAAGGAACUAGGCAAAAUGGUGCCGUAA
rnacentral:rRNA from 1 species